AUUGAACGCUGGCGGAAUGCUUUACACAUGCAAGUCGAGCGGCAGCACGGGGGCAACCCUGGUUGCGAGCGGCGAACUGGUGAGUAAUACAUCGGAACAUGCCCAGUCGUGGGGGAUAACACUUCGAAAGAAGUGCUAAUACCGCAUACGUCCUGAGGGGGAAAGCGGGGGAUCGCAAGACCUCGCGCGAUUGGAGUGGCCGAUGUCAGAUUAGCUAGUUGGUGGGGUAAAGGCCUACCAAGGCAACGAUCUGUAGCUGGUCUGAGAGGAUGAUCAGCCACACUGGGACUGAGACACGGCCCAGACUCCUACGGGAGGCAGCAGUGGGGAAUUUUGGACAAUGGGGGCAACCCUGAUCCAGCCAUUCCGCGUGAGUGAAGAAGGCCUUCGGGUUGUAAAGCUCUUUCGGCAGGAACGAAACGGUGAGCUCUAACAUAGCUUGCUAAUGACGGUACCUGAAGAAGAAGCACCGGCUAACUACGUG
rnacentral:rRNA from 1 species